GCGGACGUAGUUCAGCGGUAGAACACAACCUUGCCAAGGUUGGGGUCGCGGGUUCGAUUCCCGUCGUCCGCU
rnacentral:tRNA from 1 species